rnacentral:rRNA from 1 species
AUUGAACGCUGGCGGCAGGCCUAACACAUGCAAGUCGAGCGAGCGGCGGACGGGUGAGUAAUGUCUGGGGACUGCCCGAUAGAGGGGGAUAACUACUGGAAACGGUAGCUAAUAACGCAUACUAUCGGAUAACACAUAUGUGAUUAGCUAGUAGGUGAGGUAAUGGCUUACCACGGGGACGAUCCGUAGCUGGUUUGAGAGGACGACCAGCCACACUGGGACUGAGGCACGGCCCAGACUCCUACGGAGGCAGCAGUGGGGAAUUUUGCACAAGGGGGGAAACCCUGAUGCAGCCAUCCCGCGUGUAUGAUGAAGGCCUUCGGGUUGUAAAGUACUGUUGGCAGAGAAGCGGUAUCUGCAGAAUAAGCACCGGCUAACUACGUGCCAGCAGCCGCGGUAAUUC